rnacentral:rRNA from 1 species
UGGGGGAUAUUGCACAAUGGGCGAAAGCCUGAUGCAGCGACGCCGCGUGGGGGAUGAAGGCCUUCGGGUUGUAAACUUCUUUUGCUCUGAACAAGGCGCACCAUGGGGUGUGUUGAGUGUAGGGGUUGAUUAGCGCCGGCUAACUACGUGCCAGCAGCCGCGGUAAUACGUAGGGCGCGAGCGUGGUCCGGAAUUAUUGGGCGUAAAGGGCUUGUAGGUGGCUGGUUGCGUCUGUCGUGAAAGCUCAUGGCUUAACUGUGGGUUUGCGGUGGGUACGGGCUGGCUUGAGUGCAGUCGGGGAGGCUGGAAUUCCUGGUGUAGCGGUGGAAUGCGCAGAUAUCAGGAGGAAUACCGGUGGCGAAGGCGGGUCUCUGGGCUGUUACUGACACUGAGGAGCGAAAGCAUGGGGAGCGAACAGG